GGACUUUGGAUUAUAUUCAAAAGGUUUGGAGGAAAAAACAUGUCCACAACAUGUUAUAGGGAUGUCAACUGGUGGUGUACAAUUCUUAUAUGAUGGAGUUGGCACAACAACAUGUGUAUUUCUUUUAUCACCAUCUAGAGCAUACAUUCCAGCCAUCCUAAUGGUACUCAAUCCAGAUUCACCUGAAUUCUUUUCAAAUGUGCCAUGACAUAUUUGUGUUAAUUGACAUAUUUGUUCUCAUUACAUUCCUUUGUUUCCUCAUUUCAUUGACAUCAUCUUUUAGAAAGCACCUCUUGCGUCUCGACUGGGAAACUGUUCAUGAAUCUUUUCAAUUAAGAUAAGCUUGACAUAUAUGAAACUAUUUAGUAAAAAUUAACACCCUUAGAUUUAUAAGAACUGACCAUUGUUAUAUCAGGCAAAGAAGGAAAUUUGUUUUCUUUUUCAUUAGCAUUCCCUCUGCAAUUUGUGGGAUCAACAUUCUCUGUAGAACACAUGAAAUUUUCGAAAAUGAGUUAGAGAAAAGGAAUAAUAUAAAAUAAUUCAACAUACAGUCUACCAAAAGAUAUAAAGUUUCAUGCGCAUUUCAUACUUUGCUGGACCAAAAGAAUUUCUCGAUCAAAAUAAGCCACUAACAAAGAAAUUGGAUCAUAGAACACCUAAACCAUCCUUUUUGCAGUACACCAAAAUGAGAAUGUGUUACUAAUAAUAUGUCAAUUUUCAGUACCUGGAGAUGUUUUUUCUUUAUUUCUGGUCAACUAUUUCAUGUUAUAAAUUAGGGUUUAUAUCUAACAUCGAUUAAUUUAUAACACGGAAAAGGUUAAAUACAUUAAAGCUAAGUGUGGAAAUAUAAGUUUUUACCAUUGCGAUCCGAGAAGGGUUUAGUCCGCUUUUGGUUUCGUAUGCAUAUUCUGUUUAUUCUUGCGAGUUUCUUCUGAUAUUCCAUGUCCAGGUAGUCUUGAAAAUGGAUUUCUGCUGAGAAUUGAGAAAUUUUUAAGAAGAGAGAGAGAGAGAGCGAAGAAGAAUUGGGAAUUUUUAUAACGGAGAGAGGGCGAAGAAGGUUU
rnacentral:lncRNA from 1 species